UACGUAGGGGGCAAGCGUUGUCCGGAUUUAUUGGGCGUAAAGAGCGUGUAGGCGGCCAUUCAGGUCAGCUGUGAAAACUCGAGGCUCAACCUCGAGACGUCGGUUGAAACCGUAUGGCUAGAGUCCGGAAGAGGAGAGUGGAAUUCCCGGUGUAGCGGUGAAAUGCGCAGAUAUCGGGAAGAACACCCGUGGCGAAGGCGGCUCCCUGGGACGGUACUGACGCUGAGACGCGAAAGCGUGGGGAGCGAACAGG
rnacentral:rRNA from 1 species